CAGUUUUUUUCCCAGUAAGUGAAAAAUUCCCUUUUAUGGAGGAUCGAUUGAUAAAUGACUGUACAAUUUGUGUCUGAACAGUAUCAACAGGAUAAAAGGGUGAUAAAUUGACGCGAUUUUAGAGCACACGGCUGGAAACGAAGGUUUAGAAGUGCACCUGUUUCUCACAAUGGACCCUUGAUUUUGGACGCAAUUUUGACUGACAGUUUCGAGAAGACGAUUUGAAUACCUUUCCUCAAUUGAAUAUUCAUCAGGAGCUUCCAUAUCAUAAUGAUGUGUUUCAGAUGAAGGGCAGAUCGCCCGAGAGUGAGAGUUCCAAAUACCACAAGCAACGAGGUUUCGCCUUGUAACGCCAGCAGGGCGCCUGCUCGACAGAUAAGGCCCGGUGAUAAAAUCCACGUUCGGAUUAUUAACAGAAAAAGAAGACAAGAAAAAAAGAAAAUGAGACUGUAAAUUUAAAAUUUAAUCUAUGUAUAUUUACAAAUAAAUUAUUUUAAGCCAACAAAUUGUAGCAUCAAGCUGUAGUUUUGUGCAGCCAUUUUGAAUUACUAAGAUGGAGGAUGUCAAUGAAAAAAGUUUAAAAACUGUCAGAAUUGAAAUCUUUAUCUUUAAAUUAGUUUAUAAUGAAAAAAAUCAUGUUGUUUGGACCGUUCUGUCGCGAGUUACUUUGUUUUGAAUAUUUAGAUAUUUCUUUAGAUUUGACCAGAAUUUGCUGCUGCAGUGAAAAAUCUCACUAGAGUCAUCCCGGGCUGAGUGGGCCCGGGUUGAGUCAUCCUGGGUUGAGUCAUCCUGGGUUGAGUCAGCCCGGGUUGAGUCAUCCUGGGUUGAGUCAGCCCGGGUUGAGUCAUCCUGGGUUGAGUCAGCCCGGGUUGAGUCAUCCUGGGUUGAGUCAGCCCGGGUCGAGUCAUCCUGGGCUGAGUGGGCCCGGUUUAAAUCAGCCCGGGCUGAGUGGGCCCGGUUUAAGUCAGCCCGGGCUGAGUGGGUAUUAUCAUACUUUAUCUUAUUCACACACUUAAUGAUUUUGCAUCGAUAGGAAUUGCGAUAUAAAAUGAAAAUAUUCAGCAAGAG